CAGAGACACACACAGAGGAAGGAGGUGGGCUUUACUCGGUGUGAACAGUUAACAUUCAUGUGCUGAUCUCAGAUGAGCGAGACAUGAAAUGGAGGAAUCAUCGUUACAGUGGCUGCUGGUUGUGACCUCGCUGCUGAGCUGCACAACAAACCAAGCCUCUCUGACUGUGAGUCCCAGCAGCUCUCAGAUGUUUGAAGGAGAAUCUGUCUCUCUGAGCUGUGAGGAGGACGACAGCUCUGCUGGAUGGACUCUGAGGAGGAACACAACCAGACAGAAGAUGUCUCAGUGCGGAGCUGGAUGGGGAAGAUCAGCUGGUUCUGUCUGUAACAUCAGCUACAUCUUCUUAUGGCACAGUGGAGUUUACUGGUGUGAGUCCAGAGAGGGAGCAACCAGUAAGAGCAUCAACAUCAGUGUCACUGGUGGAUCAGUGAUCCUGCAGAGUCCUGUCCUCCCUGUGAUGGAGGGACAUGAUGUCACUCUGCACUGUAAAACAAAGACGUCCUCCAACCUCCCAGCUGCUUUCUAUAAAGAUGGCUCCUUCAUCAGGACUGAGCCUGCAGGUCACAUGACCAUCCGCCAUGUAACCAGGUCUGAUGAAGGCCUCUACAAGUGUGACAUCACAGGUCAUGGAGAGUCUCCACCCAGCUGGCUCACUGUCACAGGAAGACCCACCACUACACCUUCUCCCACAACCACCCAUACCUCUGGUUCCUCCUCUUCCUCACCCAGCUCUACCUCUGGUUCCCCUCCUCCUGAGUACAUCCUGUGGGCUGUGGUUUCAUCGGUCUGUGUGCUGGUGUUGCUGGUGUUGCUGGUUCUCCUGGUGAGACGAUGCAGCCACAGGAAACAUAAAGCUGCUGAAGUUGGAGAUGAUGACAUCAGAGAUGACAUCAAAAUAUCACGUAACCUACAACAGCCAAUCAGACAGAGCAGAGAGAGCGAUCCAGCUGCCGUCUACUCAGCAGUGAGAAGAGCAGACGACGUCAGCUACGGACAAAUAGUCUUCAAAGACAUCAGAUCAAACAGGAAGAGAGAGAGCGAAUCAGCUGCAGUUUACUCAGCAGUGAGAAGAAAAGAAGACGUCAGUUAUGGACAAAUAGAGAUCAGGCCGAACAGGAGGAGAGGUACAGCUGCUCUUUAUUACUGAACUCUACCACAGAGCCAGGCUAGCUGUUUCCCCCUGCUUCCAGUCUUUGUGCUAAGAGCCUCCAGCAGAGCCACAGGUCGUCUACUCUUCACUGAGGUAGACCUUCACACUUUCACACCAGUCCAACCAGUGAAUCCAGCUGGCCUGUCACUGGUCCCCACAGCCCCUCACACCUCAGGACAUUCAUGGGCUUUAUUUCUUAUUUAUAUAUGUGAAAGUUAAAUGAGACUGGUGCAGCUACAGAGAGACAAACAGCUUCACUUUACACAUUAUUGUUUUACUUUUCUUUGGAUAAAUAACUUGUUAAAUACUUAUUUGUUUAGGUGGUAGUGUU